CCUAGUACGAGAGGACCGGAGUGGACGCAUCACUGGUGUUCGGGUUGUCAUGCCAAUGGCACUGCCCGGUAGCUAAAUGCGGAAGAGAUAAGUGCUGAAAGCAUCUAAGCACGAAACUUGCCCCGAGAUGAGUUCUCCCUGAGACUAUAAGUCUCCUGAAGGAACGUUGAAGACGACGACGUUGAUAGGCCGGGUGUGUAAGCGCAGCGAUGCGUUGAGCUAACCGGUACUAAUGAACCGUGAGGCUUAACCUU
rnacentral:rRNA from 1 species